rnacentral:rRNA from 1 species
UUAUAAGAAGAAAGUAAGAAAGGGCGUAUGGUGGAUGCCUAGGCUCACAGAGGCGAUGAAGGACGUGAUAAGCUGCGAUAAGCUUCGGGUAGGUGCAAAUAACCUUUGAUCCGAAGAUUUCCGAAUGGGACAACCCGGCCGUCUGAAGGACGGUCACUCACGCUCAGCGUGAGAGCUAACGCAGGGAACUGAAACAUCUUAGUACCUGUAGGAAGAGAAAAUAAAUAAUGAUUCCCUUAGUAGUGGCGAGCGAACGGGGAACAGCCCAAACCGUGACUGUGGCAACGCAGCUGCGGGGUAGUAGGACCGCGAUAUUGUAUGCAUGCAGUGAGCAGAAUCUUCUGGAAAGAAGAACCGCAGAUGGUGAAAGUCCAGUAUGCGAAGCUAAUUGCAACAUAGCGGUAUCCUGAGUAACGCGGAACACGAGGAAUUCUGCGCGAAUCCGCCGGGACCAUCCGGUAAGGCUAAAUACUCCUGUGAGACCGAUAGUGAACCAGUACCGUGAGGGAAAGGUGAAAAGCACUUCGAUAAGAAGAGUGAAAUAGUUCCUGAAACCAUACGCCUACAAGCGGUCGGAGCUGCUUUAUGCAGUGACGGCGUGCCUUUUGCAUAAUGAACCUACGAGUUACCAUCACCAGCAAGGUUAAGGGCCAUAAGUCCCCAAGCCGCAGUGAAAG